rnacentral:rRNA from 1 species
UGCAAGCGUUAAUCGGAAUUACUGGGCGUAAAGCGCACGCAGGCGGUCUGUCAAGUCGGAUGUGAAAUCCCCGGGCUCAACCUGGGAACUGCAUUCGAAACUGGCAGGCUGGAGUCUUGUAGAGGGGGGUAGAAUUCCAGGUGUAGCGGUGAAAUGCGUAGAGAUCUGGAGGAAUACCGGUGGCGAAGGCGGCCCCCUGGACAAAGACUGACGCUCAGGUGCGAAAGCGUGGGGAGCAAACAGGAUUAGAUACCCUGGUAGUCCACGCUGUAAACGAUGUCGACUUGGAGGUUGUUCCCUUGAGGAGUGGCUUCCGGAGCUAACGCGUUAAGUCGACCGCCUGGGGAGUACGGCCGCAAGGUUAAAACUCAAAUGAAUUGACGGGGGCCCGCACAAGCGGUGGAGCAUGUGGUUUAAUUCGAUGCAACGCGAAGAACCUUACCUACUCUUGACAUCCAGAGAACUUAGCAGAGAUGCUUUGGUGCCUUCGGGAACUCUGAGACAGGUGCUGCAUGGCUGUCGUCAGCUCGUGUUGUGAAAUGUUGGGUUAAGUCCCGCAACGAGCGCAAC